AAGAAGAAGAAGAAGAAGAAGAAGAAGCACCUGAGGUCACAGGUGUUUGUGUUUUGUUUUUAACUUUGUCUUCAUCAAGAACUUUUGGUCUUCUCUGCCGCAGGACACGACUCCAGGAUCCUCAUCUUCAACUUCAUCACAAGAUCACUGAUGUUCCUUCAUCUGUUGUCAAGAAAAGAUAAAGAGAAGACCCAGUAGAGGUGGAGACAAAACAGCCCUGAAGGACUCCUUAACUUUAUUUACCUCUCAACAUGGUACCGUGGGUAAUGUAUGCCUCUGUAGCUUUUUAAAGAGCCCUCUGUGGACUCAGUGUCCUGGGUACAGCCCGGACUGGAACACCAAAUGAAUGCUUUGGGUGCAUGGAAACAGACCCUUUAACCAUGAAGCUCUAAAGGAGAUU